rnacentral:rRNA from 1 species
AUGUGGGUAAGUCCGCAACGAGCGCAACCCUUGUCAUCAGUUGCUACGAAAGGGCACUCUGAUGAGACUGCCGGUGACAAACCGGAGGAAGGUGGGGAUGACGUCAGGUCCUCAUGGCCCUUAUGGGUAGGGCUACACACGUCAUACAAUGGCCGGUACAGAGGGCUGCCAACCCGCGAGGGGGAGCCAAUCCCAGAAAACCGGUCGUAGUCCGGAUCGCAGUCUGCAACUCGACUGCGUGAAGUCGGAAUCGCUAGUAAUCGCGGAUCAGCUUGCCGCGGUGAAUACGUUCCCGGGUCUUGUACACACCGCCCGUCACACCAUGGGAGCGGGUUCUGCCAGAAGUAGUUAGCCUAACCGCAAGGAGGGCGAUUACCACGGCAGGGUUCGUGACUGGGGUGAAGUCGUAACAAGG